GACGAACGCUGGCGGCGUGCCUAAUACAUGCAAGUCGAACGAGAGCGACCGGUGCUUGCACUGGUCAAUCUAGUGGCGAACGGGUGAGUAACACGUGGGUAACUGCCCAUCAGAGGGGGAUAACAUCCGGAAACGGAUGCUAAAACCGCAUAGGUCUUCGAGCCGCAUGGCUUGAAGAGGAAAAGAGGCGCAAGCUUCUGCUGAUGGAUGGACCCGCGGUGCAUUAGCUAGUUGGUGAGGUAACGGCUCACCAAGGCCGUGAUGCAUAGCCGACCUGAGAGGGUGAUCGGCCACAUUGGGACUGAGACACGGCCCAAACUCCUACGGGGAGGCAGCAGUAGGGAAUCUUCCGCAAUGGACGCAAGUCUGACGGGAGCAACGCCGGCGUGAGUGAAAGAAAGGUUUUUCGGGAUCCGUAAAAA
rnacentral:rRNA from 1 species